CGGACCGGGGAGAGGAAAGUCCGGGCUUCACAGGGCAGGAUGCCGGAUAACGUCCGGCGGAGGCGACUCCAGAGAUAGUGCAACAGAAAUAAACCGCCCGGGGACCGUCUGGACAGCUGAUGCUGUCCCGUCGGUCCCCGGGCAAGGGUGGAAAGGCGGGGUAAGAGCCCGCCGAUCCCCUGGUAACAGGGGAUGCCAUGUAAACCUCAUCCGAAGCAAGGCCGAAUAGAAAACCAUGAUCCGGCCCGGAUCGUUUUCAGGUUGGCCGCUUAAGCCUUCCGGCAACGGCAGGCUCAGACAGAUGAUCAUUCGAGACAUAACCCGGCUUAUCGUCCGGCUC
rnacentral:RNase_P_RNA from 1 species